GGGCAUCCCGGAGGCAGGAAAGGCUUCGGCCGGACAGGGAUGGGCAUGCGGCGCAUUAGGCAGUAGGCGGGGUAACGGCCCACCUAACCGACGAUGCGUAGGGGUUCUGAGAGGAAGGUCCCCCACACUGGUACUGAGACACGGACCAGACUCCUACGGGAGGCAGCAGUGAGGAAUAUUGGUCAAUGGUCGGGAGACUGAACCAGCCAAGCCGCGUGAGGGAUGAAGGUACAGAGUAUCGUAAACCUCUUUUGUCAGGGAACAAAGGCGGGGACGUGUCCCCGGAUGAGUGUACCUGAAGAAAAAGCAUCGGCUAACUCCGUGCCAGCAGCCGCGGUAAUACGGAGGAUGCGAGCGUUAUCCGGAUUUAUUGGGUUUAAAGGGUGCGCAGGCGGUCUGUUAAGUCAGCGGUCAAAGCCCGGGGCUCAACCCCGGCCCGCCGUUGAAACUGGCAGUCUCGAGUUGGAGAGAAGUAUGCGGAAUGCGCGGUGUAGCGGUGAAAUGCAUAGAUAUCGCGCAGAACUCCGAUUGCGAAGGCAGCAUGCCGGCUCCACACUGACGCUGAGGCACGAAAGCGUGGGUAUCGAACAGGAUUAGAUACCCUGGUAGUCCACGCAGUAAACGAUGAAUGCUGGCUGUCCGGGGGGAUUGACCCCUGGGUGGCGAAG
rnacentral:rRNA from 1 species